rnacentral:rRNA from 1 species
UACGAAGGGGGCUAGCGUUGUUCGGAUUUACUGGGCGUAAAGCGCGCGUAGGCGGGUUGCUAAGUCAGAGGUGAAAUGCCGAGGCUCAACCUCGGAACUGCCUUUGAUACUGGCAAUCUGGAGUUCGGGAGAGGUGAGUGGAAUUCCGAGUGUAGAGGUGAAAUUCGUAGAUAUUCGGAGGAACACCAGAAGCGAAGGCGGCUCACUGGCCCGAUACUGACGCUGAGGCGCGAAAGCGUGGGGAGCAAACAGG